rnacentral:rRNA from 1 species
GAGUUUGAUUCUGGCUCAGCGCGAACGUUGGCGGCGUGCCUAACACAUGCAAGUCGUGGGGCAGCAGACUACUGUCUUUUGGCAGUAGUGCUGGCGACCGGCAAACGGGUGAGUAACACGUAGCUUACCUACCCAUAGGUUGGGGAUGACAUCCCGAAAGGGGUGCUAAUACCCAAUAAUGAGGAGACUCCAAAGCCCUUAUGGGUGCCUAUGGAUGGGGCUGCGUCCCAUCAGCUUGUUGGUGAGGUAAUGGCUCACCAAGGCUACGACGGGUAACCGGUCUGAGAGGAUGACCGGUCACAGUGGGACUGAGACACGGCCCGCACCCCUACGGGGGGCAGCAGUGGGGAAUAUUGGGCAAUGGCUGAAAGGCUGACCCAGCAACGCCGCGUGGUGGAUGAAGCCCUUCGGGGUGUAAACACCUUUUCUGGGGGAAGAUAAUGACGGUACCCCAGGAAUAAGGGACGNNNAACUACGUGCCAGCAGCCGCGGUAAUACGUAGGUCCCAAACGUUGCGCGAAUUUACUGGGCGUAAAGAGUCCGUAGGCGGUUUAGCAAGUGGUUGGUGAAAUUUCAC